UGGGGAAUAUUGCACAAUGGGCGAAAGCCUGAUGCAGCAACGCCGCGUGAGCGAUGAAGGCCUUCGGGUCGUAAAGCUCUGUCCUCAAGGAAGAUAAUGACGGUACUUGAGGAGGAAGCCCCGGCUAACUACGUGCCAGCAGCCGCGGUAAUACGUAGGGGGCUAGCGUUAUCCGGAAUUACUGGGCGUAAAGGGUGCGUAGGUGGUUUCUUAAGUCAGAGGUGAAAGGCUACGGCCCAACAGUAGUAAGCCUUUGAAACUGGGCAACUUGAGUGCAGGAGAGGAGAGUGGAAUUCCUAGUGUAGCGGUGAAAGGCGUAGAUAGUAGGAGGAGCACCAGUUGCGAAGGCGGCUCUCUGGACUGUAACUGACACUGAGGCACGAAAGCGUGGGGAGCAAACA
rnacentral:rRNA from 1 species